UACGUGGGCAGCGAGCGUUGUUCGGAGUUACUGGGCGUAAAGGGUGUGUAGGCGGUUGUUUAAGUUUGGUGUGAAAUCUCCCGGCUCAACUGGGAGGGUGCGCCGAAUACUGAGUGACUAGAGUGCGGGAGAGGAAAGUGGAAUUCCUGGUGUAGCGGUGAAAUGCGUAGAUAUCAGGAGGAACACCGGUGGUGUAGACGGCUUUCUGGACCGUAACUGACGCUGAGACACGAAAGCGUGGGUAGCAAACAGG
rnacentral:rRNA from 1 species